rnacentral:rRNA from 1 species
UACGGGAGGCAGCAGUGGGGAAUAUUGCACAAUGGGCGUAAGCCUGAUGCAGCCAUGCCGCGUGUAUGAAAAAGGCCUUCGGGUUGUAAAGUACUUUCAGUCGUGAGGAAGGUGUUAAGGUUAAUAACCUUAGCAAUUGACGUUAGCGACAGAAGAAGCACCGGCUAACUCCGUGCCAGCAGCCGCGGUAAUACGGAGGGUGCGAGCGUUAAUCGGAAUUACUGGGCGUAAAGGGCACGCAGGCGGUUAAUUAAGUUGGAUGUGAAAUCCCCGGGCUUAACCUGGGAAUGGCAUUCAAGACUGGUUAGCUAGAGUCUUGUAGAGGGGGGUAGAAUUCCGAUGUGUAGCGGUGAAAUGCGUAGAGAUGUGGAGGAAUACCGGUGGCGAAGGCGGCCCCUGGGACAAAGACUGACGCUCAUGUGCGAAAGCGUGGGGAGCAAACAGGGAUUAGAUACC